rnacentral:rRNA from 1 species
ACGAACGCUGGCGGCACGCUUAACACAUGCAAGUCGAACGAGAGAAGAGGAGCUUGCUUUUCUGAUCUAGUGGCGGACGGGUGAGUAACACGUGAGCAAUCUGCCUUUCAGAGGGGGAUACCGAUUGGAAACGAUCGUUAAUACCGCAUAACAUAAUUGAACCGCAUGAUUUGAUUAUCAAAGAUUUAUCGCUGAAAGAUGAGCUCGCGUCUGAUUAGCUAGUUGGUAAGGUAACGGCUUACCAAGGCGACGAUCAGUAGCCGGACUGAGAGGUUGAUCGGCCACAUUGGGACUGAGACACGGCCCAGACUCCUACGGGAGGCAGCAGUGGGGAAUAUUGCACAAUGGAGGAAACUCUGAUGCAGCGAUGCCGCGUGAGGGAAGAAGGUUUUAGGAUUGUAAACCUCUGUCUUCAGGGACGAAAAAAGACGGUACCUGAGGAGGAAGCUCCGGCUAACUACGUGCCAGCAGCCGCGGUAAUACGUAGGGAGCGAGCGUUGUCCGGAAUUACUGGGUGUAAAGGGAGCGUAGGCGGGAUCGCAAGUCAGAUGUGAAAACUAUGGGCUUAACCCAUAAACUGCAUUUGAAACUGUGGUUCUUGAGUGAAGUAGAGGUAAGCGGAAUUCCUAGUGUAGCGGUGAAAUGCGUAGAUAUUAGGAGGAACAUCAGUGGCGAAGGCGGCUUACUGGGCUUUAACUGACGCUGAGGCUCGAAAGCGUGGGGAGCAAACAGGAUUAGAUACCCUGGUAGUCCACGCCGUAAACGAUGAUUACUAGGUGUGGGGGGACUGACCCCUUCCGUGCCGCAGCAAACGCAAUAAGUAAUCCACCUGGGGAGUACGACCGCAAGGUUGAAACUCAAAGGAAUUGACGGGGGCCCGCACAAGCAGUGGAGUAUGUGGAUUAAUUCGAAGCAACGCGAAGAACCUUACCAGGUCUUGACAUCGUAUGCAUAGCUCAGAGAUGAGUGAAAUCUCUUCGGAGACAUAUAGACAGGUGGUGCAUGGUUGUCGUCAGCUCGUGUCGUGAGAUGUUGGGUUAAGUCCCGCAACGAGCGCAACCCUUACUGUUAGUUGCUACGCAAGAGCACUCUAGCAGGACUGCCGUUGACAAAACGGAGGAAGGUGGGGAUGACGUCAAAUCAUCAUGCCCCUUAUGACCUGGGCCUCACACGUACUACAAUGGCUGUCAACAGAGGGAUGCAAAGCCGCGAGGUGGAGCGAACCCCUAAAAGCAGUCUUAGUUCGGAUUGUAGGCUGCAACCCGCCUACAUGAAGUCGGAAUUGCUAGUAAUCGCAGAUCAGCAUGCUGCGGUGAAUACGUUCCCGGGCCUUGUACACACCGCCCGUCACGCCAUGGGGGUCGGUAACACCCGAAGCCUGUAGUCUAACCGCAAGGAGGACGCAGUCGAAGGUGGGAUUGAUGACUGGGGUG